UACGAAGGGUGCAAACGUUGCUCGGAAUUAUUGGGCGUAAAGCGCACGUAGGCGGCAUUGCAAGUCGGAUGUGAAAUCUUAUGGCUUAACCAUAAAAGUGCAUCCGAAACUGCAGUGCUUGAGUACUUAAGAGGAUCGCGGAAUUCCCGGUGUAGAGGUGAAAUUCGUAGAUAUCGGGAGGAACACCAGUGGCGAAGGCGGCGAUCUGGGAAGAUACUGACGCUGAGGUGCGAAAGCGUGGGGAGCAAACAGGG
rnacentral:rRNA from 1 species